rnacentral:lncRNA from 1 species
GAGGAUAACGAAAGUCUUUUUGGAGACAGGUGAAAUUACAACAUGCUUUUGUUUGCUUAAAAUAGUGAACCACAGGAGAUGAAAAGAAUAAGUGGAGUGAUGUAUUGGAACGACCGAGAAAGAAUGAGAUGUAAUUUACACGUGAAAGGAAUGGCCUUGACUAGGAGUGAAGAUACACACAAAGAAUAUGGACAUAGUUGCAAGCAGUUAAGAAGAAAACACAGCUGGAUCUACAAUCGGGGAAAAUCCA